rnacentral:rRNA from 1 species
UACGUAGGGGGCAAGCGUUGUCCGGAUUUAUUGGGCGUAAAGAGCGUGUAGGCGGUUUGGUAGGUCCGCUGUGAAAACUCGAGGCUCAACCUCGAGACGCCGGUGGAAACCAUCAGGCUAGAGUCCGGAAGAGGAGAGUGGAAUUCCAGGUGUAGCGGUGAAAUGCGUAGAUAUCUGGAGGAACAUCAGUGGCGAAGGCGACACCCUGGACUCAUACUGACACUGAGGUGCGAAAGCGUGGGGAGCAAACAGG